rnacentral:rRNA from 1 species
AUACGGAGGGAGCGAGCGUUAAUCGGAAUUACUGGGCGUAAAGCGCGCGUAGGCGGCUUUGUAAGUCGGAUGUGAAAUCCCCGGGCUCAACCUGGGAACUGCAUUCGAUACUGGCAAGCUAGAGUAUAGUAGAGGCAAGUGGAAUUCCGGGUGUAGCGGUGAAAUGCGUAGAUAUCCGGAGGAACAUCAGUGGCGAAGGCGACUUGCUGGACUAAUACUGACGCUGAGGAGCGAAAGCGUGGGGAGCAAACGGGAUUAGAAACCCCAGUAGUCC